CGGCAUGCCUCAGUAGCGGCGAGUGAAGCGGCAAGAGCUCAGAUUUGAAAUCGUGCUUUGCGGCACGAGUUGUAGAUUGCAGGUUGGAGUCUGUGUGGAAGGCGGUGUCCAAGUCCCUUGGAACAGGGCGCCCAGGAGGGUGAGAGCCCCGUGGGAUGCCGGCGGAAGCAGUGAGGCCCUUCUGACGAGUCGAGUUGUUUGGGAAUA
rnacentral:rRNA from 1 species